GAGGCUCCACGCCAAGCUCUGGGGAUGUUCCUAGAAUCCAGCCCAGUGCCUGGCAAGCAGGAAGAAGAAAAGUCAUGUUUCCAGCUUGGACUGCUGUUUCAUCUGUUAGACCUGCUCAGUCUAUUUCCUUGAUUGGCCCAAUGCUCUGCCUCCCUGAGAACUUCACCUUCUCUUUGGGUGCCAGCCAUUGCCCAUUCUUGCCUGAUUAAGAAAU